CGGGCACCUCGCCCACCCGUGCCCCCCAUGACCACGCCCACUGAUUCGACGGCAUUAUAUACUGCGGCGUGGCCACACCACCCAGACAGGGCUUAUAGACCAUUGUUGCCGGGUACGGUGGCCGUGCCCACGUCAGAUCACGGGCAGACCAGCACAGCUGGACCUUGCAGCUUUCCAUUGUCGGAGCUGCCGACAUUAUCUCAGAUAGGGUUCACCCAACCGGGUAACGCCUAUCGAUGGUGGGUGCGAGAGGGGAUGGGGUCACAGGGUUAUGCGCCAUACUUUCCGUAUACGUAUAGUGUACCGUCGACGUGUAACCCUGAUAGUGAGACGCAGGAUGGUAGAUUUCCAUUGUCACAGACCGGGAAGAUGCAGAUGCCGGCUGUGGGGUUGGGACAGAUACCGGCACAGGCGGCGAUGCAGGGCCAGAUUUUGGGGGCGAGACAGAUGCCAGCAUCGGGGGCGAGUCAGGGCCCGGGGCAUGUAGAGAGCUAGAUGCCUUUAUCUGGUGAGAGCCAGGUGCCACUUUCCGGUGAUAGUUAGAUGCCAGAUGUAGGGGGGAGCCAGAGUACCCAUGAGGAGGACGUUGCGAUGUUGGGUACCGAUCAUUUGGCCCCCGGUAGCCCCCAGGAUAUGGAUUCAGAUGAUGAUCAGCAGCCUCCACCAGCGGGAGGGGUUGGCGAGGAGCUUGCAGGCGACCCAGCGACCCAGCACAUACCGAUUGACCACAUUCGGUUGAUGGGGUACAACCCAGACGGGACCAUUUAUUAUGUGGUGAUUGAGGACCCAGCGAGAAACUGGGUGCUCCCGAGGGGGAAGAAGGUUGUAUUGCAGUAUAAUGCUGCUAUACAACCUGUAGGAUGAGCCUGCAAUCGUUUUUGGCGGGCUGAGGGCAAGCUGAUCAGGAGUGGGUCCUACAUACACAUGCGGGACGAAUGGGCGAGGGUAAAUAAGCAGAUUAAGCAGGCAAUGUGGGACGCGCUGAUAGAGGAGUUCUAUCUACCUGUAUCAGUAGACACGCGCAGGGCACAACAGGAGGCGUGGAAUGAUAUUGGCGGUAAGCACCGCUUGUGGAAGUCGAGGUUCAAAACCAAACUAUGUAUUGGAGACGGUGACACGCCCGAGAGUAUCCGUGCGAGAAUGCCGGAGAAUUUUUUUGCGAAGUAUGACGCAACAGAUGUAGAGUUCCUGCUGAGAGAUUGGUGCACUGAGCAUA